rnacentral:rRNA from 1 species
GACGAACGCUGGCGGCGUGCUUAACACAUGCAAGUCGAACGGAAAGGCCCUGCUUUUGUGGUGUGCUCGAGUGGCGAACGGGUGAGUAACACGUGAGUAACCUUCCCUUGACUUUGUGAUAACUUCAGGAAACUGGGGCUAAUACCGGAUAUGAGCUCCUGCUGCAUGGUGGGGGUUGGAAAGUUUCGGCGGUUGGGGAUGGACUCGCGGCUUAUCAGCUUGUUGGUGGGGUAGUGGCUUACCAAGGCUUUGACGGGUAGCCGGCCUGAGAGGGUGACCGGCCACAUUGGGACUGAGAUACGGCACAGACACCUACGGGGGGCAGAAGUGGGGAAUAUUGCACAAUGGGCGGAAGACUGACGCAGCAACGCCGCGUGCGGGAUGACGGCCCUCGGGUUGUAAACCGCUUUCGCCUGUGACGAAGCGUGAGUGACGGUAAUGGGUAAAGAAGCACCGGCUAACUACGUG